CAAUGAACUACACAUGGACACUCUCAGGAUGGUCCCUUUGCUCUCAUUAAGAGUUCCAAGAUGAGGGUCUGAUUGACUGGGGUGUGAAAUGUAACAGCCAAUGGUGUACUUAAGCUAAGACUGUCAGUCCCAAUAUUCAAGAGGAAAAACCCCUACAUAAACAAAUACAUGGGCGCAGACAUUUUGGACACCCAAAGUUGUGCGGAGGAGAAAAUGCUACCUGGCGCGUGAUUGGUCAAUAAGAGAAAAGACUUGAUAUGUAUUUGACAAGUGAAAUAAAGUUGAUAAAAAUGUAA